UAGGGAAUUUUUCACAAUGAGCGAAAGCUUGAUGGAGCAAUGCCGCGUGAACGAUGAAGGUCUUUAAGAUUGUAAAGUUCUUUUAUUUGGGAAGAAUGACUUUAGCAGGUAAUGGCUAGAGUUUGACUGUACCAUUUUGAAUAAGUGACGACUAACUAUGUGCCAGCAGUCGCGGUAAUACAUAGGUCGCAAGCGUUAUCCGGAUUUAUUGGGCGUAAAGCAAGCGCAGGCGGAUUGAAAAGUCUGGUGUUAAAGGCAGCUGCUUAACAGUUGUAUGCAUUGGAAACUAUUAAUCUAGAGUGUGGUAGGGAGUUUUGGAAUUUCAUGUGGAGCGGUGAAAUGCGUAGAUAUAUGAAGGAACACCAGUGGCGAAGGCGAAAACUUAGGCCAUUACUGACGCUUAGGCUUGAAAGUGUGGGGAGCAAAUAGGAUUAGAUACCCUAGUAGUCCACACCGUAAACGAUAGAUACUAGCUGUCGGGGCGAUCCCCUCGGUAGUGAAGUUAACACAUUAAGUAUCUCGCCCGGGUAGUACAUUCGCAAGAAUG
rnacentral:rRNA from 1 species